rnacentral:rRNA from 1 species
CAGCCGCCGCGGGAAUACGAAGGGUGCAAGCGUUACUCGGAAUUACUGGGCGUAAAGCGUGCGUAGGUGGUGGGUUAAGUCCGUUGUGAAAGCCCUGGGCUCAACCUGGGAAUUGCAGUGGAUACUGGGUCAUUAGAGUGUGGUAGAGGAUAGUGGAAUUUCCGGUGUAGCAGUGAAAUGCGUAGAGAUCGGAAGGAACAUCUGUGGCGAAGGCGACUAUCUGGGCCAACACUGACACUGAGGCACGAAAGCGUGGGGAGCAAACAGGAUUAGAUACCCCAGUAGUCCCUGUCUCUUAUAC